rnacentral:tRNA from 1 species
GAAAUGCUGGCAGAAGGCAGCCGUCGGCGAGGCUUCUGACCUCACUCUUGCCGACGGGCGGCAUCGCUGCGCCUUCGACCCGCGCUCACUUUGC